rnacentral:rRNA from 1 species
GGAUCCAGACUUUGAUUCUGGCUCAGGACGAACGCUGGCGGCGUGCUUAACACAUGCAAGUCGAACGAAGCUUGAUUACGGAAUUCUUCGGAAAGAAGUAUGAUAUGACUUAGUGGCGGACGGGUGAGUAACGCGUGAGUAACCUGCCUUUCAGAGGGGGACAACGUUUGGAAACGAACGCUAAUACCGCAUGAAAUAUAUUUAAGGCAUCUUAGAUAUAUCAAAGAUUUAUCGCUGAGAGAUGGACUCGCGUCUGAUUAGAUAGUUGGUGAGGUAACGGCUCACCAAGUCGACGAUCAGUAGCCGGACUGAGAGGUUGAACGGCCACAUUGGGACUGAGACACGGCCCAGACUCCUACGGGAGGCAGCAGUGGGGAAUAUUGCACAAUGGGCGCAAGCCUGAUGCAGCAACGCCGCGUGAGGGAAGACGGUCUUCGGAUUGUAAACCUUUGUCUUUGGUGAAGAAGAAAGUGACGGUAGCCAAGGAGGAAGCCACGGCUAACUACGUGCCAGCAGCCGCGGUAAUACGUAGGUGGCAAGCGUUGUCCGGAAUUACUGGGUGUAAAGGGAGCGCAGGCGGGACAGCAAGUUGGAUGUGAAAUACCGAGGCUUAACCACGGAGCUGCAUCCAAAACUGUUGUUCUUGAGUGAAGUAGAGGUAGGCGGAAUUCCGAGUGUAGCGGUGAAAUGCGUAGAUAUUCGGAGGAACACCAGUGGCGAAGGCGGCCUACUGGGCUUUAACUGACGCUGAGGCUCGAAAGUGUGGGGAGCAAACAGGGUUAGAUACCCUGGUAGUCCACACUGUAAACGAUGAUUGCUAGGUGUGGGGGGUCUGACCCCCUCCGUGCCGGAGUUAACGCAAUAAGCAAUCCACCUGGGGAGUACGGCCGCAAGGUUGCAACUCAAA